rnacentral:lncRNA from 1 species
GACUUGAACUGCGUCCCUUCGCCACAAUCAACUGAUUUUUCAGACCUCAUCUGUUUCUCUAUCUCUCUCUAUCUUUCACACACACUACACACACAUGGCUCGCUCUCUUCUUUUCUUGCUAUUGCUUCCUCUGAUUCUCCUAAUGUCGAAAGCCGAGGCGCUCUCCAACAGUCCCAUCUUGCCCAAAGCUGCGAUCUUUCCGGUUUCGAAGGAUUCCUCAACUCUUCAAUACGUCGCUCAUGUUUCCAUGGGUGAAAAUCUUGAUUCCCUCAAUCUCGUGGUUGAUCUCAAUGGCCCUUUUGUGUGGAUGGCAUCUGGGCUCAAAUCUGCCUCUGAUUCUCAGCAGCCCAUCAAGAGUUGCUCGCUCAAGUGCUCCAUGGCUAAGUCGACUAGGGGUGGUGGAGCAGAGUACAACUCCAAGACCAAGAGUUGUACCUUGCUGGCAGAGAACACAAUUUCAAGAAUUUCUGCAUCUGGAGAUCUGAGUGAGGAUGUGAUGGCUAUGGAGUUCUGGGAUGGGAGUGGCUCUCCUUCAUUUGCCAAGAGUGAGAAAUUCUUGUUUUUAUCUUCCCCAAAUUUGUUGCUCAAGGGCUUGGCUCAUGAGGCUAGAGGGGUGCUAGGGUUGGGAGAUUCAAGAAUCUCACUCCCAUCACAAUUCUCCACCACAUUUGGAUUCUUUGAGAGGAAAUUCUCACUGUGUUUGUCCCCUAAAAAGGGUGCACUUUUCCUAGGUGGGAACCCUCUUGAGAGCUCAAUGAUGUUCACUCCUCUAAUCUCCAAGAAAAGUGGGGGUGAUCAAGAAGGUUAUUACAUUGAUGUGAGUUCAAUUAAGGUUUCUGGCAAGAAACUCCCUUUGCAUCAAAAAGGGAUUAUUCUUGGUGCCAAAAUCAGCACCAUUGUUCCUUACACUACAUUUGAGAGCAAGAUUUAUGCUGCAUUUGUUGAGUCCUAUGUUGGUGCUGCCAUCUCCAUGAAUUUGAGUCUAGUGCAAUCUGUGGCUCCAUUUGAAGUGUGUUUCAGCUCAAGAGAUGGGGGGAAUGUUCCAGUUGUUGAUCUUGUUUUGCAGAGUGAGCUGGUGAAGUGGAGGAUUCAUGGUGAGAAUUCAAUGGUGGUGGUGAGUGAUGAAGUGAUGUGUUUGGGAUUCUUGGAUGGUGGUCUGAAUCCUAGGGAUUCAAUUGUUGUUGGUGGGCAUCAGAUUGAGGAUCAUCUGCUUGAGUUCAACUUGGGAAACUCCAUGCUUGGAUUUGCUUCAUUGUUGAAGGGAGACAAGAAGUGCUCUGAUUUUGAAGCAUCUUCAAUGGAUGGGGAGAUCUUGUGAUGCUUUGUUGAGGAGAGGGGACUAAUUUUUGAUUGAAUCCUCAAUUUGUAUAGUUGGGGGAUUCUAGUUUCUAAUCUUAUAAUGUUUUUCUUUUCCUUUUUUUUUUCCUUCUUUUUAUCUUUGUAGAUUUUUUUUUUCUGAUGUAACAAGUUUUCUGGAUGAAGUAUGAUAAUUAUCGAGGGUUGUGGAGAAGAGGAAAUUACUCACUUUUGCCAUAGUAAUGUUACAUGGAUUGGAAUCAUAAUCACAAGUUUGUGAAUUUUGUAUUUCUUUAGUAAUUACCACACUUUUUAAAAAAGUUGAAAAAUUAAAAUAAAAAAUGAUUUUGACCCC